rnacentral:RNase_P_RNA from 2 species
ACUUUUGAGUAAUCGCGCUAAUUUAAUUUGGUGAGGAAAGUCCAUACUCGCACUAGCUGAGAUGCUAGUAGUGUUCAUGCUAAAUGAAACAAUAAGUUUAGGUACUAAUUUUAGUAACGGCAGACGAUUUUUCCUAAGUGUUUGCAUAUGGAAAAAUGUAUCUUUAAAGUGCCACAGUGACGAAGUUUUUAUAGAAAUAUAAAAAGUGGAACGCGGUAAACCCCUUGAGCGAGCAAUUCAAAUUUUGGUAGAAGCACUCAUCUUGUAGAAAUGAAUAUAGAGAUGAGAAAUAAUUUAUUAUUUAGACAGAUGAUUACACCUAUUUUUACGAGAGUUCUAGUUGCUCGUUAUAGUAAGUAUAGGAACAGAAUAUGGCUUAUGAUA